AUUGAACGCUGGCGGCAUGCUUUACACAUGCAAGUCGAACGGUAACAGGCCUUCGGGUGCUGACGAGUGGCGAACGGGUGAGUAAUGCAUCGGAACGUACCCAGAGGUGGGGGAUAACGCAGCGAAAGCUGUGCUAAUACCGCAUGUGAUCUGAGGAUGAAAGCGGGGGACCGAGCAGCAAUGUUUGGCCUCGCGCCUUUGGAGCGGCCGAUGUCGGAUUAGCUAGUUGGUGGGGUAAAGGCCUACCAAGGCGACGAUCCGUAGCUGGUCUGAGAGGACGAUCAGCCACACUGGGACUGAGACACGGCCCAGACUCCUACGGGAGGCAGCAGUGGGGAAUUUUGGACAAUGGGCGCAAGCCUGAUCCAGCAAUGCCGCGUGCGGGAAGAAGGCCUUCGGGUUGUAAACCGCUUUUGGCAGGAACGAAACGGUGUCCGCUAAUACCGGGCGCUAAUGACGGUACCUGCAGAAUAAGCACCGGCUAACUACGUG
rnacentral:rRNA from 1 species